rnacentral:rRNA from 1 species
AUUGAACGCUGGCGGCAUGCCUUACACAUGCAAGUCGAACGGCAGCACGGGAGCAAUCCUGGUGGCGAGUGGCGAACGGGUGAGUAAUAUAUCGGAACGUGCCCAGUCGUGGGGAUAACGUAGCGAAAGCUACGCUAAUACCGCAUACGAUCUAUGGAUGAAAGCGGGGGAUCGCAAGACCUCGCGCGAUUGGAGCGGCCGAUAUCAGAUUAGGUAGUUGGUGAGGUAAAGGCUCACCAAGCCGACGAUCUGUAGCUGGUCUGAGAGGACGACCAGCCACACUGGGACUGAGACACGGCCCAGACUCCUACGGGAGCAGCAGUGGGGAAUUUUGGGACAAUGGGCGCAAGCCUGAUCCAGCAAUGCCGCGUGCAGGAUGAA